rnacentral:rRNA from 1 species
AUUGAACGCUGGCGGAAUGCUUUACACAUGCAAGUCGAACGGUAGAGGGGGCAACCCCUCGAGAGUGGCGAACGGGUGAGUAAUAUAUCGGAACGUGCCCAGUCGUGGGGGAUAACGUAGCGAAAGUUACGCUAAUACCGCAUACGAUCUAAGGAUGAAAGCGGGGGAUCGCAAGACCUCGCGCGAUUGGAGCGGCCGAUAUCAGAUUAGGUAGUUGGUGGGGUAAAGGCCCACCAAGCCGACGAUCUGUAGCUGGUCUGAGAGGACGACCAGCCACACUGGGACUGGGACACGGCCCAGACUCCUACGGGAGGCAGCAGUGGGGAAUUUUGGACAAUGGGCGCAAGCCUGAUCCAGCAAUGCCGCGUGCAGGAUGAAGGCCUUCGGGUUGUAAACUGCUUUUGUACGGAGCGAAACGGUGAGCUCUAAUACAGUUUGCUAAUGACGGUACCGUAAGAAUAAGCACCGGCUAACUACGUGCCAGCCGCCGCCGUAA